rnacentral:rRNA from 1 species
UACGUAGGGGGCAAGCGUUGUCCGGAUUUAUUGGGCGUAAAGCGUCCGCAGGCGGUCAACCAAGUUUCGGGUGACAGUUCCCGGCUCAACUGGGGAAGUGCUCGAAAAACUGGCUGACUUGAGGGCUUGAGAGGAAAGCGGAACUCCGGGUGGAGUGGUGAAAUGCGUAGAUAUCCGGAAGAACACCGAUGGCGUAGGCAGCUUUCUGGCAAGCCACUGACGCUCAUGGACGAAAGCCAGGGGAGCAAACGGGAUUAGAUACCCUGUAGUCC